rnacentral:misc_RNA from 1 species
UACGGAGGGUGCAAGCGUUAAUCGGAAUUACUGGGCGUAAAGCGCGCGUAGGUGGUCAAGUCAGUCAGAUGUGAAAGCCCAGGGCUUAACCUUGGAAUUGCAUCUGAUACUGCUUGACUAGAGUAUGGUAGAGGGGUGUGGAAUUUCCUGUGUAGCGGUGAAAUGCGUAGAUAUAGGAAGGAACACCAGUGGCGAAGGCGACACCCUGGACCAAUACUGACACUGACGCUGAGGUGCGAAAGUGUGGGGAGCAAACAGG